rnacentral:rRNA from 1 species
CACGGGGGGAACGCGAAGAACCUUACCUGGUCUUGACACCUGCCUGACCGGCCGGUAAUGCGGCCUUUCCUUCGGGACAGGCAAGACAGGUGGUGCAUGGUUGUCGUCAGCUCGUGUCGUGAGAUGUUGGGUUAAGUCCCGCAACGAGCGCAACCCUUGCCUUUAGCUGCCAUCAUUAAGUUGGGCACUCUAGAGGGACUGCCAGGGAUAACCUGGAGGAAGGUGGGGAUGACGUCAAAUCAUCAUGCCCCUUAUGCUUAGGGCUACACACGUGCUACAAUGGGUGGUACAGAGGGCAGCCAAGUCGUGAGGCGGAGCUAAUCCCUUAAAGCCAUUCUCAGUUCGGAUUGUAGGCUGAAACUCGCCUACAUGAAGCUGGAGUUACUAGUAAUCGCAGAUCAGAAUGCUGCGGUGAAUGCGUUCCCGGGUCUUGUACACACCG